UACGGAGGGUGCGAGCGUUGUCCGGAAUCAUUGGGCGUAAAGGGCGCGUAGGUGGCCCGGUCAGUCCGUGGUGAAAGCGCGGGGCUCAACCCCGCGUCGGCCAUGGAUACUGCUGGGCUGGAGCACUGUAGGAGGCAGGCGGAAUUCCGGGUGUAGCGGUGGAAUGCGUAGAGAUCCGGAAGAACACCGGUGGCGAAGGCGGCCUGCUGGGCAGUUGCUGACACUGAGGCGCGACAGCGUGGGGAGCAAACAGG
rnacentral:rRNA from 1 species